ensembl:lncRNA
GUAUGUGUGUGAGUGAGACUACAGUAGGUGUGAGUGAGACUACACUAGGUGUGAGUGAGACUACAGUAUGUGUGUGAGUGAGACUACAGUAUGUGUGUGAGUGAGACUACAGUAGGUGUGAGUGAGACUACAGUAUGUGUGAGUGAGACUACAGUAUGUGUGUGAGUGAGACUACAGUAUGUGUGUGAGUGAGACUACAGUAUGUGUGUGAGUGAGACUACAGUGUGUGUGUGAGUGAGACUACAGUAUGUGUGAGGGAGACUACGGUAUGUUUGAUUGAGACUACAGUAUGUGUGAGGGAGACUACAAUAUGUGUGAGUGAGAUUGUAGUAUGUGUGAUAUGUGUGAGUGAGACUACAGUAUGUGUGAGUGAGACUACAGUAUGUGUGAGUAAGACUACAGUUUGUGUGAUUAAGACUACAGUAGGUGUGAGUAAGACUACAGUAUGUGUGAGUGAGACUACAGUAUGUGUGAGUAAGACUACAGUUUGUGUGAGUAAGACUACAGUAGGGGGUGAAUAAGAAUACAGGAUGUGUGAGUAAGACUACAGUAUGUGUGAGUGAGACUACAGUAUGUGUGAGUGAGACUACAGUAUGUGUGAGUGAGACUACAGUAGGUGUGAGUGAGACUACAGUAUGUGUGAGUGAGACUACAGUAUGUGUGAGUGAGACUACAGUAUGUGUGAGUGAGACUACCAUAUGUGUGUGAGUGAGACUACAGUAUGUGUGAGUGAGACUACAGUAUGUGUGAGUGGGACUAUAGUAUGUGUGAGUGAGACUACAGUAUGUG